rnacentral:miRNA from 1 species
UGAUGAAAGAGAGGUAGAGAGAGAGAGAGAGAGAAAGAGAGGAGUGCCAAUGAUAGGCAGUCUGCAUUUUAGUGCCCAACUUGAAUGAGUCUCUCUCUCUGUCUUUCUGUCUUUCUCUCUCUAUCUCUCUCUCUCACCGCUUUGCUCUCU